CGCGCUGAUGUACCCCGCCUGGCUCAGCUACAGGGCUCUGCAGGCACAGUGGAGUCCACACAGAAGGCCUGGCCCGGCAUUGCCGUGUCGUGGUUUAAAUCCAGAUGUGUCCCCCACCCCCCGGCCUCAGGUGUUCACUGGCAGGGCUCUGGGAAGAGGAUGGGACCACGGGGUGCCACCGCUGCCUUUCGUCUGGACCUGAAGAGGCAGGUGGGUUGCUGGAGGAGUGACCCAGAACCGUCUGUCUUCUGCUUGGCUCCUCCCUCCCUCCCCUGCUUUCUGGCCGCCGUGAUGUGAGCAGCUGUCCUCUGCCCAGCCCUCUGUUGUGCAGCUCUCAUUUUUUAUGCCUGCCAAACACAGCCUAAAACUUCUAAAGCACGAGCCAAAAUAAACCUCUCCUCCUUUAAACUGUGGGCCUUGGCUAUUUUGCUCAGCAAUGAGGAAGUGAUGAAGACACAAGGCCUCCCACACAAAUUGCGUAGGAUCAAGGGCCCCUCUCAAGCCAAAGAAGGAAGCUGUCACAAAGGAGGAAUGACGUAGAACGUUCCGUCCACCACGUGGUUCACGACAGAGAGAAUGAUGGAAUCAUCUGAUAAAACUAAGCUCCAAGUGGGGAACAACAUCCUGUGCAUUAGAGUCCUUGAACCCACUUCACGUAAACAGUACACAUCUCUUGUAGCUAAAUGCACAAUUCACGCAGCCCUGGGUGGGCAGCACAAGUGGCCUUUCUCUCACUCACAACCAGUGACAAGCAAACUAUUUCUGAAAUACUGAGUCAGAGUGAUCCCUAACUUUGAUGUAAAGGCAGUGAUAAGUAAUUACCACAAGUGCAAUCCAGUAGGGUCAGGGUAGCAAGAAUUCAUAUCCCUCAUGGAAAUAGCUGGGUCUUGGGCAAACACCCCAGGUCAAUGUGCAAGGUAAGUGUGAGGGCAUCGAAAGUGAUGGACAAGGGAGACAAAGAACAGCAAUCAAAGCCUUGGGGACAAUUACAGAAAGGAAGAUUCUGGAGCUAACACUCUGUGCGGCUAACAUUCUCGCCAUACCAUCCCAGGUGAGACCGGAGCCCCGCCACGAGUCCUCAUCAGGAGGAGGACUUGCUGGACACCCCACCGCGGGCAGAACGUCACGAAGACUCCUCCGGCGGCAGUGCCCCCUCCCACUGUGCCUGCUUCCUCACGCCCUUCCGCACCUCGGGCUCACACCUGGUGGAACACACCGUCCCGUGGCGGAGCUACAGCCGCGUCUUCCCUGCACCACGGGCAGAGCACCCUUCUAGGACGCCUCAUCUUUCCUGCCCCCAGGUCUCACCUGCUCAUCUGUCCCCCCAGGCAGUGUGCACGGCCUUGGGGCUCCCUACACUUUGGUGGAAUAAAGUUUUCAAAGGAAACAUAAAGCACGUCGCAGAGGGGAAGGUUCUGUGUACAUGUUCAAGAG
rnacentral:lncRNA from 1 species